ensembl:lncRNA
CAUUCAGCACAGAAUUAGUGUGAUCAUAUGCCCGGAGGUGUGCCAGGUGUGAAGGCUAGCAGGGAAGAAUGGAGAAAGGCUAGGGAAGAGUAAGGAAUGAAGACAUUUGGAGAACAGGACCAACCCAUGAAGGCUUAAAGAAUGAGGCUUAUGGACCGCCUUCACACACAUUCCCCGAGAGCAGAGGUGAGAGGGCCAGGUGUUUCUCAGCCAUGCCGUCCACCACUUCAGUCACUGGAUUCAAGCUGCCCCUUGAAAGAAUGUGACCUUGGCCAGGCCAUGCACCAAGGACCGAGGGCCAAUGGCUGCAGGCUGACUUUUGGCAGCACUCCUAGCAGCUGGGAGGGCAAAGGAGGAUCUAAGGACAGCCGUGGAGAGAGCAGAUGCAAGUAAGAAACGGAGCGUCUCCUGAGGUCAGCGCCCACAUCUGUCUCCCUCAUUAAAGGACAUGUGCUCAGCACUGGGUUUGUACACAGCACAUCCAGUGACCAAAUGGACGUGGGAAGAGAGGUCGGCAGGGACGAGCUAACUUUGCAGAGAUGAGAAAACCAGGUCAUUGAAUGCCCUGGACUUUCUGACGUUAGACCUAGGCAGAUUCUGUCAGUGGUUCAUCCAAACUUUGUAACUUAUGCUUCACCAAACGCUUUCUCAAAGAGCCUGUGACUCACUGUCAUAGAAAUAACAACUUUCUCUCUCAAAGGUUUAUACUGUCAUGUUAUUUUCCACAUGUAAUUACUGGCUAUGGCAGACUAACCCUACCGGGAACAGCACAGGGCAGAGUGAUGGGAGGCUUUGUGUCCUUGAAUUCUUGAGUGCUGGUGCUGUAGGAACCUUGAGAUUGUCUUAUCCAGUGCCCACAGCUC